AGUGAACGCUGGCGGUAGGCCUAACACAUGCAAGUCGAACGGCAGCACGGUAAGAGCUUGCUCUUACGGGUGGCGAGUGGCGGACGGGUGAGGAAUACAUCGGAAUCUACUUUUUCGUGGGGGAUAACGUAGGGAAACUUACGCUAAUACCUCAUACGACCUACGGGUGAAAGCAGGGGAUCUUCGGACCUUGCGCGAUUGAAUGAGCCGAUGUCGGAUUAGCUAGUUGGCGGGGUAAAGGCCCACCAAGGCGACGAUCCGUAGCUGGUCUGAGAGGAUGAUCAGCCACACUGGAACUGAGACACGGUCCAGACUCCUACGGGAGGCAGCAGUGGGGAAUAUUGGACAAUGGGCGCAAGCCUGAUCCAGCCAUACCGCGUGGGUGAAGAAGGCCUUCGGGUUGUAAAGCCCUUUUGUUGGGAAAGAAAAGCAGCAGGUUAAUACCCCGCUGUUCUGACGGUACCCAAAGAAUAAGCACCGGCUAACUUCGUG
rnacentral:rRNA from 1 species